AGGUUUGAGCCUGGGCUUUGGUACUGUUUCUUCAGAACCCUCCUGGCCUUUUCCUUUUAAACAUGUAUGAGUGUCAAGAAUGUGAAGCAUAUACGUCACUUUUCUCUGUAAAACAAUAUUACUUCCUUAAUUUCAUUCACUGUUCUUAACGGUUUUCUCAGAAUAAAUAGGUUUUCUCCUUUGACCUUCAUUGCUUUAGCUCAGUGGUUCUCAACCUGUGGGUCUCCAGGUGUUUCGGGCUACAACUCUCAGAAAUCCCAGCCAGUUUACCAGCGUAUAUUUAUUUAUUUACUGCAUUUCUAUACCUCUUUUCUCCCUCCUGGGAGCCUUUGGUGGCUCAGUGUGUUAAAAGCGCUGAGCUGCUGAACUUGCAGAUCGAAAGGUCCCAGGUUCAAAUCCGGGGAGCAGAGUGAGCGCCCGCUGUUAGCUCCAGCUUCUGCCAACCUAGCAGUUUGAAACCAUGGUUGAGAACCACUGAUUUAGCUUAUAUUACUUGAACUGGGGGAAGACCAGCGUAGAAUUAAAAUGCAGGUGACUUAAGCAUCCAAGUCAGCUAAAAUUCUGAUUUUUCUUUGCUUGCUUCUUUUUGAGUAUGAGCUCCUACCUCCGUCCAUCCUGUAACUUGUACAGGAAGCGUGUUGCUUUUUCUCUAGUUUUAUAUUUGUAUUACUCUCUUAUCUCUUUGUGGCAAAUUUUUCCUGUUGUGUAUUGAGAAAUAAUUGUUUGGUCAAAUAUCUCGGUCAUUUAAGAGUAAGGUGCCAGUGAGUGGGAGACUUACUCCUUGGGUUUAUCUGAAUAGCAUGCUUGUGUACAUACAGCUUAGAGCCAGUUAUUAUAUAAUAUGACCAUACAAAAUUCCCUUUUUAUUGGAAACUUUGUCCUCAAGUGAGAACUGGUCUGCUCAUUCAGUUACUCUCAGUCCCACCCCCGUCACAAGCGCAGCUGGUGGGAACGAGAGAGGGGCCUUCUCUGUGAUCGUGUUUAAAUUUAUUGUUUUUCUAAUGUGGAAUUUUUAUUAUAAUGUGUGUUUUAUUGUCAUUUUAUACUUUUGAUAUUAAUGAAGAAAUUGUGGCAUUGAAUGUUUGCCAUUUAUAUUUAUUUAUUUAUUAUUUACUACAUUUAUAUCCUGCUCUUCUCACCCCGAAGGGGACUCAGAGCGGCUUACAAAUCAAAUGAACAUACAAUAUAUUAUUAGCAUAGCACAAUAUAAGCAUUACAUUACUAUAUUAUACUAUAUUAUUAUAUGGCAAUAUUAUUAGUAAUAUUACAUUUAAUAUAUAAUAUAUCAUUAAUAUUAUUAUAUUGAGCCUCCUGUGGCCUAGGGGAUAAAAGCCUCGUGACUUGAAGGUUGGGUUGCUGACCUGAAAGCUGCCAGGUUCGAAUCCCACCCAGGGAGAGCGCGGAUGAGCUCCCUCUAUCAGCUCCAGCUCCAUGCGGGGACAUGAGAGAAGCCUCCCACAAGGAUGGUAAAACAUAAAAAAACAAAAAACAUCCGGGCAUCCCCUGGGCAACGUCCUUGUAGACGGCCAAUUCUCUCACUCCAGAAGCAACUCCGGUUGCUCCUGACAUGAAAAAACCCCUAAAAAACUGCCCUGAGUCCCUCUGGGUAGAGAGGGCGGUCUAGAAAUAAAGGUUUUUAAAUUAUUACUAUUAUUACAGUAGAGUCUCACUUAUCCAACACUCGCCUAGCCAACGUUCUGGAUUAUCCAACACAUUUUUGUAGUCAAUGUUUUCAAUACAUCAUAAUAUUUUGGUGCUAAAUUCGUAAAUACAGUAAUUACUACAUAGCAUUACUGCGUAUUGAACUACUUUUUCUGUCAAAUUCGUUGUUAAACAUGAUGUUUUGGUGCUUAAUUUGUAAAAUCAUAACCUAAUUUGAUGUGUAAUAGGCUUUUCCUUAAUCCCUCCUUAUUAUCCAACAUAUUCGCUUAUCCAGUAGAGUAUAACUCUACUGUACUUUGAUAUUUUUGGUGUAUCUGAAAAUCUUUGAAUAAACAGAACUAAAUGCUAUCUUGCUUUUCUGCCUCCAUUGCCUCCUCAGUGAAAAGUAGCAAUUUGAACAAAUGUUUUCUGAUCCUUUUCCUACCUGACCCUUCCGUUAGGUUGAGCAGGUAGUUGCUGGUUUUACACUUUAUAUAUGGGGAGGUGCAUGGCCCCACGGUUGCUGUUCCUGCUCCAUCUUUGGUUCCAGGGGUCAAAGAAAAUGUAGAAAAGGCUUAAAUGGCAGCGUUUCCAUUUGGAUCUGGGUUUCACAAGGGAUUGUGCUGGUUGAACAGACCUAAGCCGAGAUAACCAGCUCAGAAGCUGAAUGCCAAAAUGAUUGACAAGGCCAAAGGGGGUCAUGAACUGCCUGGGGACAAAGGGAAGAUGCACAGGAUGGCGGUUUGCACUUGGCGCCUGUCAGGGCAACCUUCCAUCUGCAUGGUGAUGUAGGAUAUUUAGCUUCAUAUUUCUCAGUUUAUCAUUGUUUUGUUUCCUGCUCCUUUUUCUUCUUUUACACUAUCUACCCCUCUACUUAGUUUUCAUUCCUGCAUAAUAAUAAUGAUAUAAAUAAUAAUAAUAACUUUAUUUUUCUAUCCCGCCUCCAUCUCCCUGUAGGGACUUGGGGUGGCUAACACAGGGUAUAUUAUGAUGGUUGUAUGUGAGUGUGGUCAGCUUGUCUUUUACGUAGCCCAGUGUAGGAGAACUCUUCACUCACCCUUUGCUUUUCAUCAGAGGGUGGAGAAGGAGGAGGAGAGUAAGGUUUCUUCCUUGCUAAACUGGUUGGGCCAGUUCUGAUAAUGAUUCCUGUUUUUUCCCCCUUUUCUGUCGCUAUUAUACUGUUGAAAAGGGUGAGAACAUUGGUAAAUGCAUGGGAGGGACUGUAAAAAUACAUGAAGGUACAACUUGCAAGCUAUGCUUAGCAGAGCACUUUCUGUAAUGCACAGAGACUACAGUAAAUACUCAAUGUUGGAAAGCUGACUGUAUAGCCGAUACACUUUGUCAUCUCUUUAUCACCCAGUAUUGAAGGAAAAUGGUGGUUUGCAAAUCUAGAGCCCUACAGUUUUGGAAAAGGUAGCUCUUGUCUAUAUAUAUAAAAGGGUAAUGAAAUUUCGGCCUAGGACAAAAGAACAAAACUACACAUUCCAGAAACACUAAACUUGGCAGCACAACCCCUCAUCCAUGCCUCUACAUUCAUACAACAAAAAGAAAAGAAAAAUAAAGUCCUAAUUAGAGGGAGAGUAAUAAUUGUUUUUAUCCAAUUGCUGCCAGUUAGAAGGCUAAGCUCCGCCCACUUGGUCUCCUAGCAACCCACUCAGCCCAGGGGACUGGCAGAGUUAGGCCUCACUUAGGCCUCUUCCACACUGCCUAUCAAAUACAGUAUCUGAUUUUAACUGGAUUAUAUGGCAGUGUAGACUCAAGGCCCUUCCACACAGCUAUAUAACCCAUUUAUAAUGGACAUAAUGUCAGGGGAAAACCUUUACCCUUUACCUUAACUACUACCUAUUCCUCAAUACUUUAUUUCCCAUACCACCAUACUUUGCCAUAGCAACGUGUGGCCGGGCAAAGCUAGUUUUUUUUAUAAGUGAUGUGAUAUUCCUGUACAAUUUUUAUUAGUUUAAUAACUGUGCCCGGCCACGCAUUGCUGUGGCGUAUGGGAAUCCUUUGUUGACCCAGUGGAAUAGCAGUGAAUAGCUUUGCAGCCUCAAAGCCUGGCUGUUUUCUUCUUUUGAGAAUCCUUGUUCGGUGAGCUGGAAUGCAACGGAAUAGGCUCGCUGCUCGGAAGCCUGAGUACUUGCGUUCUAGGGGAAUGGUUUUUGGGCUGCUAGAAUUGCAGUGAAUAGCCUCGCUGCUUCAAAGCUUGGCUGCUUGCUGCGUAGGGGAAUCUUUGGUUGGUCAGUUUCAAUAGUACAGAGUAUUAUUGCUGCUUCAAAGCCUGGCCGCCCUCUACCAAGGUUAAUCCUUUGUUGGUCUGGUUGAAUUGCACUGAAUAGCCUUGCAGCUUCAGUGCCUGGCUGUGUUAUACCUAAGGGAAUCCUUGUUUGGCGAGCUUAUCAUAUCCCCUCAUUUCCCAACCCUAUCUUAAGGUGCUGACUUGGCUAGCUUUGUAACAUACUAAACAUUCUAAGCACCAGAUAUUUACUAAAUUUCUUCUCCCAGUAUGUAGCAGUCUGGGCUUUGGGAUGUGUAGAUUGGGCCCUACAUGUAGUUCCAUUUAUGAUAACUGCUUAAGUCAGUGAUGGCCAACCUAUGACACGUGUGUCAGCACUAACACGCCUAGCCAUUUUUGCUGACACGCUGCCGCAUGCAGAUUGAUUGGAUGACUAAUGUCUUUUGUGGCCAAAUUUGGUGUGAUUUGGUCCAGUGGUUUUGUUGUUUACUCCAUGGGAAUUAUGCACAUUACACACACACACACACACACAUAAUCAUUUUAUUAUUCUAUUAUUAUUGUAGUAUAUUAUUAUAUUAUUACUAUUAUAUUAUUAUUAUAUUAUUCAUUAUUCAUGACUACAUUGAAACUACAAUAAACAGAAAUCAGUGUGGAAAUUGCAAGAGGUGCCAUAGAUUGUUGUACAUGGAAAAUAAUGGUAGUAAAUAGUUUUUAUUUAUUAAAUACAGUUAUAUAUUGCAAUUAUAUAUUUGUGUUAUUUAAACUAUAUAUAUUGUGAAAUUAUGGUUUUUUCUCGAAGUGACAUACCACCUAAGUCAUGCUAGGUUUUUUGGUGAAUUUUGACACACCAAGUGCAAAAGGUUGCUCAUCAUUGGCUUAAGUACAGUAGAGUCUCACUUAUCCAACACUCGCUUAUCCAAUGUUCUGGAUUAUCCAACGCAUUUUUGUAGUCAAUGUUUUCAAUAUAUUGUGAUAUUUUGGUGCUAAAUUCGUAAAUACAGUAAUUACUACAUAGCAUUACUGUGUAUUGAACUACUUUUUCUGUCAAAUUUGUUGUAUAACAUGAUGUUUUGGUGCUUAAUUUUUAAAAUCAUAACCUAAUUUGAUGUUUAAUAGGCUUUUUCUUAAUCUCUCCUUAUUAUCCAACAUAUUCGCUUAUCGAACGUUCUGCCGGCUCGUUUAUUUUGGAUAAGUGAGACUCUACUGUAACAACUUUGAUAUGAAACUUGCUGCCUUUGGAGAAGCAUCAGACAGAUGAGUUCUUAGGGUGUUAAUGGAAUUGUUGAUGUUUUAACUCUUACUUAAAUGCUUCGGGUGUCUGAUAAAUAAUGGUUUGUAAAAUAGUUAUUGGUGAUUUACCAUGAGGAAUGAUUUAUAAGAUAAGUAAGCCAUGCUAAUAGUGUUGCAAACAAAUCAGGAAUUAUAUCCUCAAAUAAAAUAAUGAUUUUGAAAGGUUAAAAGUGAGCGUCUCAAAUAAAGUUGUUAUAGCGUGGUUAUACAGACCCAGUAAAUGAAUAGUUGGCUCCUGUAACAGUUCAUUGGCAUUUAUUUUAAAUCCUGACUCCUGGUGUGUACCAAUAAGCUAGGAAUCCCGCAGAGUGAAAUUGAGCCUUGAUCUAAUCCUCUUACCUGUCACACAGGAAGAGGAAAGGGUAGCAUGUGACUUUGAAGCCUCAUUUCAUUGCUCAUGCUAAUGUUAAACCACCGCUUUGUGUUGUGUGUGAACCAGUAUUCAGGCCAGUCUUGCCUCUGCGCAUUUUGUGAGUCAAGCAGCUGGUACUGUAGUACUAUUGCAGCUACAUUGUGUAGAGCAGGAGUAGACAAAGUCACUUCAUUGGCUGGUUCACUGAGUUGAGUUGUAGUCCAACAACAUCUGGAGGGCUCUGGUUACUCAUUCACUGUGCCAGUAGACCUUAUUUGACCAUAACCUGUUCACUACAUACAUAGGAUUUGGACUAUGGCUCUCGAGUGGUCAUGUUUUCAUAGCCAAGCCGCAGUAUGUGUAGCUGGAAGUGAACGUGUUUGCUCUGUGAUUGGGAAUGAUUACUGUAUAUACUCGAGUAUAAGCCAACCCGAAUAUAAGCCGAAGCACCUAAUUUUACCACAGAAAACUGGGAAAACAUUGACUCAAGUAUAAACACAUUUCAAGAUAAGAUUGUUGAACUCAGAUUAAAUCAUUAUUCUCAUCUUCUUCAAUGUAAAUGUGCUUAUGUAUCCUUUUAAUAAUAAUAGUGUAAAAUAAUACAUGUAAUAAUAAAUAGAGUAAAAUAAUAAAUGUUACAAUAAUAAUAUCAGAGUGAACUAGUAAAUGUAUUAAUAAAAAUAGAGUAAAAUAAAUGUAUUAGUAACAAUAAUAAUUAUGCGGUAGCGAAGUGCGUUAAAGCACUGAGCUGGAGACCGAAUGGUCCCAGGUUCAAACCCCGGGAGUGGUGUGAGCGACCGCUGUUAGCUCUAGCUCCUGCCAACCUAGCGGUUCGAAAACAUGCCAAUGUGAGUAGAUCAAUAGGUACUGCUCCGGUGGAAAGGUAACGGCGUUCCAUGCCUAUGGCCACAUGACCUUGGAGGUGUCUAUGGACAAUGCCGGCUCUUCGGCUUAGAAAUGGAGAUGAGCACCAACCCCCAGAGUCAGACAUUACUGGACUUAACGUCAGGGGAAACCUUUACCUUUAACAAUAAUAAUAGAGUAAAAUAAUAAAUACAGGGGCCCCUGGUGGCACAGUGAGUUAAAGAGCUGAGUUGCUGAACUUGCGGACCAAAAGAUUCCAGGUUCAAAUCCCGGGAGCGGAAUGAGUGCCCGCUGUUAGCCCCAGCUCUUGCCAACCUAGCAGUUCGAAAACAUGCAAAUGUGAGUAGAUCAAUAGGUACCGCUCCGGUGGGAAGGUAAUGGCGCUCAAUGCAGUCAUGCCAGCCACAUGACCUUGGAGGUGUCUAUGGACAAUGUCGGCUCUUUGGCUUAGAGAUGGUGAUGAGCACCAACCCCCAGAGUCGGUUACGACUGGACUUAACGUCAGGGGAAAACCUUUACCUUUUACCUAAAAUAAUAAAUGCAAUAAUAAUAAUAAUAAUAAUAAUAAUAAUAAUAAUAAUAAUAAUAAUAAUAAUAAUAAAUAGAGUAAAGUAAUACAUGUAAUAACACAAAUAAUAAUAGAAAAAAAUAAUAAAUGUACUGUAUAUACUUGAGUAUAAGCCGAUCCGAAUAUAAGCCAACCAGGACCCAAAUAUAAACUGAGGGUUGUUUUUUUUUCAAUCCUAAAAGGGCUGGAAACUCUGCUUAUACUCGAGUAUAUACGGUAGUUUUUUAUAUACUGACAGAUAUGAGGUACACUUACAGGAUAAACAGCACCCUUUCUGGAGCACAAUUCUUAAAAACACACUACUCAGAAAUGGAAAGCAUGGGAGGAGAUAGAGCAAGAUCAGACUGGAUUUUGUGUUGUGGAUAAAAUACCCCCUGUGUGUAAAUCUACUUUUAAUUAAAACUGAAUGGGAGGCUUGUGUGUUCUCACUGUACAUUUUACUUAAAAAAAACCUCCCCUGUACAUUAUCCAUCGUAAAGUUCAGCCAGGAUACACCGUGUUCCAUUACAGUUUCAGUUCAGCAAGCCUAUUUUCCUUGGAUGCAAGCUUUGUGCCAUGGUACAUCUGUGUGGAUUCAUGUGCACAGGUACAAUUGAAUGUUGUAGACUCAGUUGCUGUCUAGGACUGAAAGAAAGACAUUGAAAUUCAGCUCUUCUUUUGGCAGUGUAAGAACUUAUUCUUGCCCAGAGAUAUACAUCCCAGUUACAGGUUCUGCUUCUUACUAAUGGCCAUGCAUGAGAACUAAAGUUGGUUGGUACUGGUUUUACUGAUGAGGUAGCCCAAACUGGUAUAAUCUGGCUUGUUGUUCUAUACUGGGAUUGUAAUACAAGAGUUCUCAAUUUCUUUUUGUUUACACCUGGAAAAGGAGAAUCCAGGUCUAGGCUGUAUUACAGUAUGGUGUGAAUGGGAUCCAUUCCUAGUUUCCUUGAUCAGCUGCUAGAACCCCAUUCGUCCUGAUGUUUCUUCAGUGAUUGGACAUAAUAAUAAUAAUAAUAAUAAUAAUAAUAAUAAUAAUAAUAAUAAUAAUAAUAAUAAGGAGCAAGCCAUCAGAACAAAUGAAAUUAAGGCCAAGAUCAAAAAAUCAGCUAAUGACCCAAAAUGCAGACUGUGCAAGGAAGCUGACGAAACCAUUGAUCAUAUCCUCAGCUGCUGUAAGAAAAUCGCACAGACAGACUACAAACAGAGGCACAACUAUGUGGCCCAAAUGAUUCAUUGGAACUUAUGCCUCAAGUACCACCUCCCAGCAGUAAAGAACUGGUGGGAUCACAAACCUGCAAAAGUAUUGGAAAAUGAGCACGCAAAGAUACUCUGGGACUUCUGAAUCCAGACUGACAAAGUUCUGGAACACAACACACCAGACAUCACAGUUGUGGAAAAGAAAAAGGUUUGGAUCAUUGAUGUCGCCAUCCCAGGUGACAGUCGCAUUGACGAAAAACAACCAGUGCAGGUGGUCCCGGUGGUGAUCGGCACAUUGGGUGCCGUGCCAAAAGAUCUCAGCCGGCAUUUGGAAACAAUAGACAUUGACAAAAUUACGAUCUGCCAACUGCAAAAGGCCACCCGACUGGGAUCUGCGCGCAUCAUCCGAAAAUACAUCACACAGUCCUAGACACUUGGGAAGUGUUCGACUUGUGAUUUUGUGAUACGAAAUCCAGCAUAUCUAUCUUGCUUGCUGUGUCAUAAUAAUAAUAAUAAUAAUAAUAAUAAUAAUAAUAAUAAUAAUAAAACUUUUUAAUGCCCUGCCACCGUCUCCCCACGGGGACUCAGAGCGGCUUACAUGGGGCAGAGGCCCAAACAACAUAAGGACAAAAUAAACAGCAACACAAUACAAAUCACAAUAUAAAAAAGAUAAAACAGUAAUACAAGAUGAAACAAGAGUAUUAUAACAGUUAAAGCCAAUCAAUUAAAACAACAAUACAAGGAUAAAAAAUUGCAUUUAAAACACAUAAAUGGUAAGGUCCUAAUAAAUACAGGCUAGAUUAUUAAUCCACAAUUUUUCAUUGACCCCCAUAUCCAAAAAUGGCAAUGUACCAACUGCUCCAGUGCAUUGUGGAAAAUAUAAAGUAUCAUCCACGAGCUAUGAAUUCGUUGUUUGUUUGUUCAGUUGCUUCCAACUCCUUGUGACCUCAUGAGCUAUGAAUAAGGGACUGUAAUAAGUUUUACAUUGUGAGGAAGCAUCAUAUUAAUAAUACAUUUGAAAACAUGAUGAUUUGCCUAAGGUCACUGUUGGGAAGUUUGAACGGAAGUUUUCCCUGGUCGAACCCUUAACCAUUUUGUUACUUUGCUUCUCAGUUAUAUUGUGAAUUGCUGAUCCUUGGUUCUGUUUGUCAUUCUUCUUGUGUAUAUGGCAUAUGUUUGAACAAGCUUUAAUUCCAGGGUGAAACAGUGGCCUGUCAAGAUCUAUUUAUUACCUGUUGUUUGAUCCUCUCUUACAUACUUUGAAGCCCAAUGUUCCCAUCUAAAAUUAUGCAAAGUGGGUCUGACAUCUGCACUAUUUGUCAAAUAUUUGGCACAGCCUGUAUCUUCAUCCUGGUAUAUUUUUAUCCAAAGAAAGAUUUUUGGUCUUAUUGUGGAAGGUGAGGGGGAAAGAGGAUUGCUUGGGGAUUUUUAUGUAUAUUUUACACAUUAUUUAAUUAUUUUGUGCAGUUUAUUUAUCAUUUGUUUGAAUGGUUUUUUCCCCUGUGGCAUUGAAUAUUUGCCAUAUACAGUAGAGUCUCACUUAUCCAAGCUUCACUUAUCCAAGCUUCUGGAUUAUCCAAGCCAUUUUUGUAGUCAAUGUUUUCAAUAUAUCGUGAUAUUUUGGUGCUAAAUUCAUAAAUACAGUAAUUACUAUGUAGCAUUACUGCAUAUUGAACUACUUUUUCUGUCAAAUUUGUUGUAUAACAUGAUGUUUUGGUGCUUAAUUUGUAAAAUCAUAACCUAAUUUGAUGUUUAAUAGGCUUCUCCUUAAUCCUUCCUUAUUAUCCAACAUAUUCGCUUAUCCAACAUUCUGCUGGCCCGUUUAUGUUGGAUAAGUGAGACUCUACUGUAAUUACAACAUAACAUUACUGCGUAUUGAACUACUUUUUCUGUCAAAUUAGUUGUAAAACAUGAUGUUUUGGUGCUUAAUUUGUAAAAUCAUAACCUAAUUUGAUGCUUAAUAGGCUUUUCCUUAAUCCCUCCUUAUUAUCCAAGAUAUUCGCUUAUCCAAGCUUCUGCCGGCCCGUUUAGCUUGGAUAAGUGAGACUCUACUGUAUUUUGGAUGCCUGCCAUAGAUGUGGGCAAACGUCAGGAGAGAAUACUUCUGGGACAUGGCCAUACAGCCGGAAAACACACAACGACCCCAUAAAAACAGAGUUUCAGAAGUGUUUUUAAGUGCCCAAAAUAUAUCUACUCUCCCAUAAAACAACUUGUUUUAUAUUAUACACUCAAGAACCAAAGUAGGCUUUGGUAAAAUAACAUAGUUUGUUUACUCACAACUUCAUAUGUUCAGCAUAACACAUGUUAUACAUAGCUUAUCAGUCCAGUUUCAGGUAUGUAUGAGAUCAUCUCUGCAUGCCUAUGGCACAGGGCAUCUUUCUUACAAAUAACAGCCGGGAUGUGUUGGUCUGAGCAGUCCCAAAGUUUAAGAAGAAUUAAAAAAGGAGUCUGUGAUCUCAGCAGUUUCAGAUCAGACUAGCUGUGCCCGGCCACGCGUUGCUGUGGUGAAGUCUGGUGGUAUGGGAAAUAAAGUAUUGAGGAAUUGGUGGUAGUUAAGUAAAGGUUUUCUCCUGACAUUAAGUCCAUUAUAAAUGGGUUAUAAAAUGCACACUGAAGUGGAUUAUAUGGCAGUGUGGACUCAAGAUAAUCCAGUUCAAAGCAGAUAAUAUAAGAUUAUAAAUGGGUUAUAUAGCUGUGUGGAAGGGCCUUGAGUCUACACUGCCAUAUAAUCCAGUUAAAAUAAGAUAAUCUGUGGAAGAGGCCUAAGUGAGGCCUAACUCCGCCUGUCCCCUGUGCUGAGUGGGUUGCUAGGAGACCAAGUGGGCAGAGCUUAGCCUUCUAACUGGCAGCAAUUGGAUAAAAACAAUUAUUCUUCUCCCUCUAAUUAGGACUUUAUUUUUCUUUUCUUUUUGUUGUAUGAAUGUAGAGGCAUGGAUGAGGGGUUGCGCUGCCAAGUUUAGUGUUUCUGGGAUGUGUAGUUUUGUUGUUUUGUCCUAGGCUGAAAUUUCAUUACCCUUUUAUAUGUAUAGAUCAUGUGGUCUGCAGCUCCUCCCACAACCUCUCAGGAAACAUAGAGCAAAUGAAGCUGCAUAUCAGAACAUAUAUAUAAAACAGUAGGCAAACAGAAUAAUAGGUUAGCAAAUUACUAGAGGAGGCUUGAAGAUGGUUGUAAUUUUCAACAGGUCUGUAUCUACAGAUUACAUAUGGCUCAUCUGCCAUAUGUAAAGAAAACUUAUGCAUGUAAGUGUUCCUAACAUGUAAGUGGCUAUAUUUCUAGGCAAUGUCCUUGGGACUCGCUUGACAAAAACAAUUCUGACCCUAGAACUCUGUCUGUUUAGCUGUAUACAGUCCAGGGCUGACAAGAACAGUCAGUUCCAUCUUUCCUAUUUCGAAGAUGUGAUUGACUUAAAACAUUUGGUUGACUUGACACCAGAUGUCAGAAAACUGGGGAACAUACGUUGUGUGCAUGUGAUGUGCUGUUCCAGCUGCCUGAUUGCAACCGCUUGUCAUUGGAGUAAUCAAAACAUAGGAUUUUUGGUUUGUUGAGAAACCAAACAGAGAGAAAAUUGUUCUUGCAUUUGGACAGUGCACAAAACAGAACAUCGAGCAAAGUCAUUGUUGCCCCCGCUGUAGAUGGGAGUGAUUGGACACUAUGUACAAGUUGGUAAUUAUAGGUUGUAACUAAUAAACCAAAAUUUGCAUCUGUCCUUGGUUUGUCAUGCCAUCUAACCUGGUCUCCACAUUUUUUAUGAUAGUCCUUUGAGCUACUUUGAAUGCUUCCUUAUCUAGUUAUGUAGAGAGCAAGUGUGAUGGACAGAUUGUUGAACUAUGACUUGCUCUAGGUUUAAAUUUACACCAAGGGAUUAGCGAUAUAUGUGAAAAAUUUCCUUUGUGCUAUUGUUUUGUUUUGACCAUUCGUCUACACAAAACAAACGAUGACAUUUUUGUUGGAAACAAAAAUGGAGCUUGCUUUCAUUUUCCUUUUGUUUCGGCCCUGUAACGUACUGACAGAGGGCUGCUUCCGCAUGACAUCUGAUGUGUACCAAUGGGUGUUAAUAUUAAUAUUAAUAACAAUAGUUUUUCUGGGACCCUAAUUUGAGUCUGAGAGAGUUCUACUUCCCCAUGACAGCUGAUGUGUGCCAAUGGGUGUUAAUAUUAAUAUUAAUAACAAUAGUUUUUCUGGGACCCUAAGCUGAGUCUGAGAGAGGUCUUCUUCCUCAUGACAGCUGAUGUGUGCCAAUGGGUGUUAAUAAUAAUAUUAAUAUGAAUAUUAAUAACAAUAGUUUCUCUGGGACUCUAAGCUGAGUCUGAGAGAGGUCUUCUUCCCCAUGACAGCUGAUGUGUGCCAAUGGGUGUUAAUAAUAAUAUGAAUAUGAAUAUUAAUAACAAUAGUUUCUCUGGGACUCUAAGCUGAGAGAGGUCUUCUUCCCCAUGACAGCUGAUGUGUGCGAAUGGGUGUUAAUAAUAAUAUUAAUAUGAAUAUUAAUAACAAUAGUUUCCCUGGGACUCUAAGCUGAGUCUGAGAGAGGUCUUCUUCCCCAUGACAUCUGAUGUGUAUCAAUGGGUGUUAAUAAUAAUAAUAAUAAUAAUAAUAAUAUGAAUAUUAAUAACAAUAGUUUCUCUGGGACCCUAAGCUGAGUCUGAGAGAGAUCUUCUUCCCCAUGACAGCUGAUGUGUGUGAAUGGGUGUUAAUAAUAAUAAUAAUUUUAAUAACAAUAGUACUCUGGGGAAGACCCAAACGUUUUAAAAGUUGGUGGGCUAAAAGGGUCAAAAUGCCCUCCAUGUGUGGCGAUUUUCACCCCUCUAGUUCAAAAACAAGUCUACUUUUACAACCUCUCCAUUUUAAUCCAUGUUUUUAUUAGCUCUUGUCAUUUGUUUUUACUGGCUAAUGUUUAAAUUUGUAUAAUUGUGCAUGUUUUUUGUCUAUUGUUGUGUUUUAUAUUGCUAUUGUUUUUAUUCGGGCUUGGCCUCAUGUAAGCCGCCCCGAGUCCCCUUUGGGGAGAUAGAGGCGGGGUAUAAAAAUAAAGUUAUUAUUAUUAUUAUUAAAAA